AGCAGUCGCCGCGGGAAUACGAAGGGUGCAAGCGUUAAUCGGAAUUACUGGGCGUAAAGCGUGCGUAGGCGGUUCGUUAAGUCUGUUGUGAAAGCCCCGGGCUCAACCUGGGAAUGGCAGUGGAUACUGGCUCGCUAGAGUGUGUCAGAGGAUGGUGGAAUUCCCGGUGUAGCGGUGAAAUGCGUAGAGAUCGGGAGGAACAUCAGUGGCGAAGGCGGCCAUCUGGGACAACACUGACGCUGAGGCACGAAAGCGUGGGGAGCAAACAGGAUUAGAUACCCCGGUAGUCCCUGUCUCUUAUAC
rnacentral:rRNA from 1 species